UACGGAGGGUGCAAGCGUUAUCCGGAUUCACUGGGUUUAAAGGGUGCGUAGGCGGGCCGGUAAGUCAGUGGUGAAAUCUCCGAGCUUAACUCGGAAACUGCCGUUGAUACUAUUUGUCUUGAAUAUUGUGGAGGUAAGCGGAAUAUGUCAUGUAGCGGUGAAAUGCUUAGAUAUGGCAUAGAACACCAAUUGCGAAGGCAGCUUACUACACAGUUAUUGACGCUGAGGCACGAAAGCGUGGGGAUCAAACAGG
rnacentral:rRNA from 1 species